UCUAAAUGAAUGUGUUAUAAAGACCAUUGUGAGUUUGAAAAUUUAAGACAAAUUUUUGUUUGCUUUCAUUAAGUAAUAUUGUUUGUGUUGGCUGUGUUAAAGCGAUUUAUAUAGCUUUAAGAACUUGUGUCCUACAUCUUGUGAAAUUGUGCCCUUCUAUUACAUGUAAUUAAAUUUAUGUUUGAGAAUUACAGAAAUAAAGUGCACAAAAUGUAAAAAAUAGAAAGAAACUUAAAGUUUUGCAUGUCGGUGGUAGCAAAAGCAAUGAAAGGAGAAGUCAUCAAAUGGAGCAAAAAUUGGGAAGACCUGUGUGUCGAAGUGAGGUUAUUUUGUCAACUUUACUGAAGAAGGAUGGUAACUAUGUGAAUGAAGAAGGAAAGAUUUUAGCUG